GAUGAACGCUAGCUACAGGCUUAACACAUGCAAGCCGAGGGGAAACGACAUCGAAAGCUUGCUUUUGAUGGGCGUCGACCGGCGCACGGGUGAGUAACGCGUAUCCAACCUGCCCAUCACUUGGGAAUAACCUUGCGAAAGUAAGACUAAUACCCAAUGACAUCCCACGAAGACAUCUGAAUGGGAUUAAAGAUUUAUCGGUGAUGGAUGGGGAUGCGUCUGAUUAGCUUGUUGGCGGGGUAACGGCCCACCAAGGCAACGAUCAGUAGGGGUUCUGAGAGGAAGGUCCCCCACAUUGGAACUGAGACACGGUCCAAACUCCUACGGGAGGCAGCAGUGAGGAAUAUUGGUCAAUGGGCGAGAGCCUGAACCAGCCAAGUAGCGUGCAGGAUGACGGCCCUAUGGGUGGUAAACUGCUUUUAUAAGGGAAUAAAGUGGGUCUCGUGAGACUUUUUGCAUGUAUCUUAUGAAUAAGGACCGGCUAAUUCCGUG
rnacentral:rRNA from 1 species